rnacentral:lncRNA from 1 species
UUGGGUGGGGGCUCUCUGGGUUUGGGUCCACCCAGGUGUCUGGGUGUCACUCGAGGGGACCCAGCUGUCACUUUGGGUUGGAAAUGACAUGUCCAGGUGCCACCUGGGGGACUUGGGUGUCCUCGGGGGGGACCCAGGGGUCUACGGGGGUGACCCAAGGCAUCUGGGCCCCCACAGAUGCCCCCCGAGGCUGAAGUCCGGGCCUUCACCCACUGCGUCAUGGAGCUGCUGGAGGUGUGGGGCAGGGCCAGCGUCCGGGUGCUCGACUUGCUGCCACUGCUGCGGGUGAGCCUCACCGUGGGGCCAGGCCCUACAGGGCCCGUAUGGCUCUGGGGAUGAGGUUUAUGGCAUCUACGGGGGCCUGGGGGAGGCCUGCGUGGGACUGAGGAAGGGCAUGGGAGGGGAUGUUGUAGGGUCUGUAUGGGAUUUGGGACUGUUAUAGGGUCCAGAUGUGGGAGACAAUAUUGGGGAGAAACUAUAUUGCCCUGGAGGGGUUGUAGGGUAUAUAUGAAGGUGUGGAGGGGCCUAUGUAGGGCUCUGAGGUGGUUAUAUGGCCUUGGGGAGGAUAUAUAGGAUCUGGGGAGGUGCUGGGGGUGUGGGAGGGUACAGGGUCUAUGUGGAGAUGGGAGUUAUAUAUGGGGUUGAGGGGGGGGUCUGUAUGGGGCUGGGGAUGGGGUUAAAUGGUCUGUAAGACCUUGGGGGAGAUGUUAAGGGUUCUACACAGGGUUGAGAGAGUCUGUAGGGACUGUGGGACCAGGGUGGGUCUAUAGGGCCUACAUGCAGCUGGAAGGGGUUAUAUAGCCACUGUGGCUCAAAGAGGGGGGGCUCUAUAGGGUCCUGGGGGCUCUUUGUGGCCCCUGGGGUGCCUAUGGGCUCCAUACGGUCCCAGGUGCUGCCCAACCCAGGGCUGCGGCGGCUGCUUAGCCUGGUGGAGUCCCGUGACGCCUUCGUGGAGACCCAGAUCCGGCGUCACAAGGCCUGCGCCUCGCCCCCUGAGGACACAGUGCUGGGGGCGCUGCUGGGGGAGGACCCCAGUGUUCGGGGGGGGCCGCUAGGCCCCGAUCGGCUGCACAUGGCCCUGGUCGACCUCUUCAUCGGUGGCACUGAGACGACA